rnacentral:lncRNA from 1 species
AAACUUCAAAUACCAAUCCUGUAAUUUCGCACUUUCUCACUUUAAUAUUCUGUGAUUUAAAGUGUAUCCAGUUAGUGUCCUGUGGUUUCAUUUUUAUUUUUUCGUUAGCUUUUUCAUUAAUAUUUCGUUAAAUUAUAUACAAAAAACUUUAAAUAUCCCAUCUAGAUUUAUCAAAGAUUCACUUUAGUACCCUUUAAUUUUAACUUUAUCACUGAUUUAACAAAAAAAAUUAGUGAAAUUAAUAAUAAAAAGAUAAAAAUGAAAACCACAUGACACUAAAUUGAUGCACUUUAAAUCGGAGGGUAGUAAAGUGAGAAUAUAUGAAACCACAAUAUGGUAUUGGAAGUUUUUCCUUAAUUUUUUUAAUAAAUUAAACCGGAU